GACCAUCUCCUAAGGCUAAAUACUCUCUAGUGACCGAUAGUGAACCAGUACCGUGAGGGAAAGGUGAAAAGCACCCCGGAAGGGGAGUGAAAUAGAACCUGAAACCGUGUGCUUACAAGUAGUCAGAGCCCGUUAAUGGGUGAUGGCGUGCCUUUUGUAGAAUGAACCGGCGAGUUACGAUUUGAUGCAAGGUUAAGCAGUAAAUGUGGAGCCGUAGCGAAAGCGAGUCUGAAUAGGGCGUUUAGUAUUUGGUCGUAGACCCGAAACCAGGUGAUCUACCCUUGGUCAGGUUGAAGUUCAGGUAACACUGAAUGGAGGACCGAACCGACUUACGUUGAAAAGUGAGCGGAUGAACUGAGGGUAGCGGAGAAAUUCCAAUCGAACCUGGAGAUAGCUGGUUCUCUCCGAAAUAGCUUUAGGGCUAGCCUCAAGUGAUGAUUAUUGGAGGUAGAGCACUGUUUGGACGAGGGGCCCCUCUCGGGUUACCGAAUUCAGACAAACUCCGAAUGCCAAUUAAUUUAACUUGGGAGUCAGAACAUGGGUGAUAAGGUCCGUGUUCGAAAGGGAAACAGCCCAGACCACCAGCUAAGGUCCCAAAAUAUAUGUUAAGUGGAAAAGGAUGUGGCGUUGCCCAGACAACUAGGAUGUUGGCUUAGAAGCAGCCAUCAUUUAAAGAGUGCGUAAUAGCUCACUAGUCGAGUGACACUGCGCCGAAAAUGUACCGGGGCUAAACAUAUUACCGAAGCUGUGGAUUGUCCUUUGGACAAUGGUAGGAGAGCGUUCUAAGGGCGUUGAAGCAUGAUCGUAAGGACAUGUGGAGCGCUUAGAAGUGAGAAUGCCGGUGUGAGUAGCGAAAGACGGGUGAGAAUCCCGUCCACCGAUUGACUAAGGUUUCCAGAGGAAGGCUCGUCCGCUCUGGGUUAGUCGGGUCCUAAGCUGAGGCCGACAGGCGUAGGCGAUGGAUAACAGGUUGAUAUUCCUGUACCACCUAUAAUCGUUUUAAUCGA
rnacentral:rRNA from 1 species